AGCAGUCGCCGCGGGAACACGAAGGGUGCAAGCGUUACUCGGAAUUACUGGGCGUAAAGCGUGCGUAGGUGGUGGUUUAAGUCCGUUGUGAAAGCCCUGGGCUCAACCUGGGAAUUGCAGUGGAUACUGGGUCACUAGAGUGUGGUAGAGGAUAGUGGAAUUUCCGGUGUAGCAGUGAAAUGCGUAGGGAUCGGAAGGAACAUCUGUGGCGAAGGCGACUAUCUGGGCCAACACUGACACUGAGGCACGAAAGCGUGGGGAGCAAACAGGAUUAGAUACCCCGGUAGUCCCUGUCUCUUAUAC
rnacentral:rRNA from 1 species